GUCUUCUAUCUAGAAUAAAGGCCUGGCCUGCAUGAUAGGGCUCCUGGAGAGUGUCCAGCACUUCUCUCUGUCCUAGGACUCCAUUUGUAAGUAAUGGAACUGACCUCAGCAGUGUGUCUUGCUCACAACACUGUGACAGGACAGGGGUGAUCCUGUGUCCUUGAUUCCUCCUGAGGGUCCCCUUUCUCACCUCAAGGACAUUGGGCAUUGUCCCAGAGAAGCCGGCAACUUCUGGCUGCCUGGAAGCACCCCCCUGUUCCCGGGAGAGAUGUAGCCUGGGGAAAGCAGGCCUUCUUAGGGAAGGAGGAAAGUCACCUGUGGUUCCUGCUGUCUGCACAGUAGGGCUGGAAGGAAGAAAAACGAAGGGCUUAGCCUGACCAAGCAGCCCCCUGGGCCAGGUACGAUGCCGCGAUGAAUACAUCUCGUCCUCGGCACAAGGACAGGCCAUGUCUGAGGGAAUCAAGCCAGCCCCUGGGUUGGACAGAUGGAUACAGCUCUGCGCCUGCAGUGUGAGUCACCAUUACCCCAGUUCUCAGGAUGGUGCACUUGGAUGGGUAGAGAAGAGACAGUGAACGAACAGGUGCAGAACGGAACCUGCUCAUCAGUGAGGUGUGCAGGCCGCCUUCACGUUCAUGGACAGGGAACCCAGGCGUGGAGAGGCGUGACCACGGCCCCCAGGGAGACUGUCACACAGGUGAAGCCACUGGGCUGAGAUACUGGUCCUGGAAGCCCUCCCUGCUGUUGGCUCUAUUGUUGUUGUUUUUUUUUUUAAAUUUUUAUUUUUGUGGUGCUGGGGAUCAAACCCAGGGCUUUGUGCAUGUAAGGUAAGCACUCUACCAACUGAGCUGUAUCCCCAGCCCUUUAUUGGUUUUUAGUUAUAAAAAUAAUAUAUGCCCUGUGAAAAGUUAAAAUGAUACUGACAUAUGUCAACAGAAAAUGAAAGUUACUUUGAGUUUGACUUCCUACAAUAUACAAAUCUCCCUGAGCCCAUGAGAAUUUCCUCCCACACAUGAAGGUUGUAUUGUUGUAUGCCUCAAUGCAUAUUCAUUCUGAAGGGGACAAACUGUGACCCUGCUCUGCAGCCGGCCCCCCCACCAUCUUUUAAUACCAUCAUAUCAACUUCAUUUUAAUAAUGGUUUACAGUACCACAGUGCUCCAUUUACAUGGAAGAUGUAUAUGUAUAUAAUCUAUAGUAGAAUGCUUUAAAGUAUUUAUUUAAAUUAAAUUUACUAAAUUUAAAAUGUUCUUUAAUAUUUUUAAAUCUUUAUAUAAAUUUAAUAUUUAUUUAAAUGGGUAUAGAGUCACUAGAUAAGAGAAAAAAUUCCAGUGUUUUAUAGCCACAGUGGGGUAACUAUGGCCAACAAUUCAUUUUGUAUUUCAAAGUAUAUAGCAGAGAGGAUUUUCAAUGUUACAACAAAAAGAAAUGAUAAACGUUUGAAGUGACGUAUAUGCCAAUUAUCCUCAUCUGGUCCUUUGUAUACAUGUAUUGAAAUAUCACACUGUAUGCCAUAAAUAUGUACAAUUACUAUGUGUCAAUUAAAAAUAUAAAUUUUGAAUUCAGA